rnacentral:rRNA from 1 species
UACAGGGGGUGCAAACGUUGCUCGGAAUUAUUGGGCGUAAAGCGCUCGCAGGUGGUCCGCUGCGUCGUGCGUGAAAGACCCCGGCUCAACUGGGGGAUGUCGUGCGAUACGGGCGGACUGGAGGCCAGUAGGGGGAUGCGGAAUUCCGGGUGUAGUGGUGGAAUGCGUAGAGAUCCGGAGGAACACCAGCGGCGAAGGCGGCAUCCUGGACUGGUCCUGACACUCAGGAGCGAAAGCGUGGGGAGCGAGUCCGG